GACGAACCGUGCGAACGUUGUUCGGAAUUACUGGGCGUAAAGGGCUCGUAGGCGGCCAACUAAGUCGGAUGUGAAAUCCCCAAGCUUAACUUGGGAACUGCAUCCGAUACUGGAUGGCUUGAAUCCGGGAGAGGGAUGCAGAAUUCCAGGUGUAGCGGUGAAAUGCGUAGAUAUCUGGAGGAAUACCGGUGGCGAAGGCGGCAUCCUGGACCGGCAUUGACGCUGAGGAGCGAAAGCUAGGGGAGCAAACGGG
rnacentral:rRNA from 1 species